CACAACGACUCUCGGCAACGGAUAUCUCGGCUCUUGCAUCGAUGAAGAACGUAGCGAAAUGCGAUACUUGGUGUGAAUUGCAGAAUCCCGUGAACCAUCGAGUCUUUGAACGCAAGUUGCGCCCGAAGCCAUUAGGCCGAGGGCACGCCUGCCUGGGUGUCACA
rnacentral:rRNA from 1 species